rnacentral:rRNA from 1 species
UACAGAGGGUGCAAGCGUUAAUCGGAAUUACUGGGCGUAAAGCGUGCGUAGACGGUUAUGUAAGUCGGGUGUGAAAGCCCCGGGCUCAACCUGGGAAUGCCAUUCGAGACUGCAUAGCUAGGGUGCGGAAGAGGGAAGCGGAAUUUCUGGUGUAGCGGUGAAAUGCGUAGAUAUCGGAAGGAACACCAGUGGCGAAAGCGGCUUCCUGGUCCAGCACCGACGUUCAGGCACGAAAGCGUGGGGAGCAAACAGG